rnacentral:rRNA from 1 species
CGGUAAUACGGAGGGUGCGAGCGUUAAUCGGAAUUACUGGGCGUAAAGCGCAUGCAGGCGGUUUGUUAAGUCAGAUGUGAAAGCCCGGGGCUCAACCUCGGAACCGCAUUUGAAACUGGCAGGCUAGAGUCUUGUAGAGGGGGGUAGAAUUUCAGGUGUAGCGGUGAAAUGCGUAGAGAUCUGAAGGAAUACCAGUGGCGAAGGCGGCCCCCUGGACAAAGACUGACGCUCAGAUGCGAAAGCGUGGGUAGCAAACAGGAUUAGAUACCCUGGUAGUCCACGCCGUAAACGCUGUCUACUUGGAGGUUGAGGUUUAGACUUUGGCUUUCGGCGCUAACGCAUUAAGUAGACCGCCUGGGGAGUACGGCCGCAAGGUUAAAACUCAAAUGAAUUGACGGGGGCCCGCACAAGCGGUGGAGCAUGUGGUUUAAUUCGAUGCAACGCGAAGAACCUUACCUACUCUUGACAUCCAGCGAAGCCUUUAGAGAUAGAGGCGUGCCUUCGGGAGCGCUGAGACAGGUGCUGCAUGGCUGUCGUCAGCUCGUGUUGUGAAAUGUUGGGUUAAGUCCCGCAACGAGCGCAACCCUUAUCCUUGUUUGCCAGCACGUAAUGGUGGGAACUCCAGGGAGACUGCCGGUGAUAAACCGGAGGAAGGUGGGGACGACGUCAAGUCAUCAUGGCCCUUACGAGUAGGGCUACACACGUGCUACAAUGGCAGAUACAGAGGGCAGCGACGCUGCGAAGUAGAGCGAAUCCCUUAAAGUCUGUCGUAGUCCGGAUUGGAGUCUGCAACUCGACUCCAUGAAGUCGGAAUCGCUAGUAAUCGUGGAUCAGAAUGCCACGGUGAAUACGUUCCCGGGCCUUGCACACACCGCCCGU